UACAAUGAAGCACAUUUCAAAAAAGUUUCCCAAGGGUCCCCGGGGUUUAGUACGUUACUGACUAAAGCUAAAUUUUCUAAACAUAUUGAAAACAUUUGAUAAUUUUGUUUUUGUUUGUUUAAACAACAAGAAACUUAUGAUAAAGCUAAACAUAAUCUAGAAGCUACACUUGCCGCAUUGCAUCACAUGUCGCCAACAAUUCCGAUAGAAAUGUUUCGAUUUUUCUGGCGCUAUGAUGGAUAUGCUUCAGGAAUCAUUUCUCUUAACUUUUUCAGGGACAUCAGGAUUUCUUAUGAGGAGGGCGACCUUGUGUUUGGGGAGACUAGUGAAGACCUUGGGGAGACUAGUGAAGACCUUGGGGAGACCAGAGAAGAAGACUAAUGGUUAUCAGUUUCAAUAGAAGCUAAAUGUUUGAAUCAUACACAAUUGUUAUGAUUCAGUUCAUCUGUUAUGACUUUCUCCUUCCGUUUAUAUUCCUAUUCCACUGUAAAAGUGUUGGUAUUAAUCGGUAUGUGUUUCCUUAAUCUGUUUGCCUGCCCAGUAUAUCAGACUACAGGCUUAGAGACAGCUAGAUUUAUGUAUCCGUAUGGAUUUUAUAUUGCAAGACUUAUAUUU